rnacentral:lncRNA from 1 species
GCGGACUUAAAACAAAGUGAAAUGUGGAUCUCGACCCACUAGAAAAUCUUCCAACAGGAUUUUCCUAAUCAAAUGGUGAGGGUCAUUUGUUUUGAGUAAAAUAAUGGGAGCAUAUUUAAUUAAAGGCCUAAUUAAAUAUGUUAUUUUAAUGAUACUUAUAUUUUCAUAGUUUUCAUGUAGAUUAUCAUGACAACAAACACCUCUAACAACACUUUGCG